AUUGAACGCUGGCGGCAGGCCUAACACAUGCAAGUCGAGCGGAUGAAGGGAGCUUGCUCCUGGACUCAGCGGCGGACGGGUGAGUAAUGCCUAGGAAUCUGCCUGGUAGUGGGGGAUAACGUCCGGAAACGGGCGCUAAUACCGCAUACGUCCUGAGGGAGAAAGUGGGGGAUCUUCGGACCUCACGCUAUCAGAUGAGCCUAGGUCGGAUUAGCUAGUUGGUGGGGUAAAGGCCUACCAAGGCGACGAUCCGUAACUGGUCUGAGAGGAUGAUCAUUCACACUGGAACUGAGACACGGUCCAGACUCCUACGGGAGGCAGCAGUGGGGAAUAUUGGACAAAGGGCGAAAGCCUGAUCCAGCCAUGCCGCGUGUGUGAAGAAGGUCUUCGGAUUGUAAAGCACUUUAAGUUGGGAGGAAGGGCAGUAAGUUAAUACCUUGCUGUUUUGACGUUACCAACAGAAUAAGCACCGGCUAACUUCGUG
rnacentral:rRNA from 1 species